UACAGAGGGUGCAAGCGUUGCUCGGAAUCAUUGGGCGUAAAGGGCAGGUAGGUGGUCUGAUUUGUCUGGUGGUGAAAUCCUUGGGCUUAACCCAAGAAGUGCCCCGGAAACGGUCAGACUCUGAGUCUUGGAGAGGGUUGCGGAAUUCCCGGUGUAGCGGUGAAAUGCGUAGAUAUCUGGAGGAACACCGGUGGCGAAGGCGACAUCCUGGACCGGUAUUGACGCUGAGGCGCGAAAGCCAGGGGAGCAAAGCGGG
rnacentral:rRNA from 1 species